GAAUCAGUACGCUGGUCGUGCCUUCGGUAUGUACUGGUGUCACUGGUUUCUCCCUUCUGAAGAACCAUCAUGCCAUUCACUUGGUGUGGUGGGAAAUCAGGACUGUUACUUUGAAAAAAUUAGAGUGUUUAAAGCAAGUGAAUAACAGCCUGAAUACAUUAGCAUGGAAUAAUAGAAUAG
rnacentral:rRNA from 1 species